rnacentral:rRNA from 1 species
CCUACGGGAGGCAGCAGUGGGGAAUUUUGGACAAUGGGCGCAAGCCUGAUCCAGCCAUGCCGCGUGCGGGAAGAAGGCCUUCGGGUUGUAAACCGCUUUUGUCAGGGAAGAAAAGGUUCUGGUUAAUACCUGGGACUCAUGACGGUACCUGAAGAAUAAGCACCGGCUAACUACGUGCCAGCAGCCGCGGUAAUACGUAGGGUGCAAGCGUUAAUCGGAAUUACUGGGCGUAAAGCGUGCGCAGGCGGUUAUGCAAGACAGAGGUGAAAUCCCCGGGCUCAACCUGGGAACUGCCUUUGUGACUGCAUAGCUAGAGUGCGGCAGAGGGGGAUGGAAUUCCGCGUGUAGCAGUGAAAUGCGUAGAUAUGCGGAGGAACACCGAUGGCGAAGGCAAUCCCCUGGGCCUGCACUGACGCUCAUGCACGAAAGCGUGGGGAGCAAACAGGAUUAGAUACCCUGGUAGUCCACGCCCUAAACGAUGUCAACUGGUUGUUGGGAGGGUUUCUUCUCAGUAACGUAGCUAACGCGUGAAGUUGACCGCCUGGGGAGUACGGCCGCAAGGUUGAAACGUCAAAGGAAUUGACGGCGNGAGAGUGCGACGGACGACGACGAGGGAGGAGG